GACGAACGCUGGCGGCGUGCUUAACACAUGCAAGUCGAACGGAAAGGCCCUGCUUUUGUGGGGUGCUCGAGUGGCGAACGGGUGAGUAACACGUGAGUAACCUGCCCUUGACUUUGGGAUAACUUCAGGAAACUGGGGCUAAUACCGGAUAGGAGCUCCUGCUGCAUGGUGGGGGUUGGAAAGUUUCGGCGGUUGGGGAUGGACUCGCGGCUUAUCAGCUUGUUGGUGGGGUAGUGGCUUACCAAGGCUUUGACGGGUAGCCGGCCUGAGAGGGUGACCGGCCAACGUGUGACGAGAAGCACGCCUACACGGCUGGGGGGGGGAGCAGUGGGGAAUAAGUCAGAGGGGGAGGGAGCCGUGUGCAGCGCGGCGGGGUGGGGGAGGACUGCCUUCGGGUUGUAAGCCGCGUUCGACUGUGAAGAAGUGGGAGUGACGGUAGGGGGUAAAGAAGCACCUGCUAACUACGUGGCAGCAGCCGCGGUAAUACUAGGACGAGCACAUGUCUGAUC
rnacentral:rRNA from 1 species